rnacentral:rRNA from 1 species
UACGAAGGGGGCUAGCGUUGUUCGGAAUUACUGGGCGUAAAGCGCACGUAGGCGGACAUUAAGUCAGGGGUGAAAGCCCCGGGCUCAACCUGGGAACCGCGCUUGAGACUGGAGAACUAGAGUUCGGGAGAGGAUGGUGGAAUUCCCAGUGUAGAGGUGAAAUUCGUAGAUAUUAGGAAGAACACCGAUGGCGAAGGCAGCCAUCUGGACCGACACUGACGCUGAGGCGCGAAAGCGUGGGGAGCAAAGCAGG